rnacentral:hammerhead_ribozyme from 1 species
AUCCAGUUGACGAAUCCGACAUAGGACGAAACGAGCGUCAAACUGGAU